UACGUAGGCAGCGAGCGUUGUUCGGAGUUACUGGGCGUAAAGGGUGCGUAGGCGGUUGUUUAAGUUUGGUGUGAAAUCUCCCGGCUCAACUGGGAGGGUGCGCCGAAUACUGAAUGACUAGAGUGCGGGAGAGGAUAGUGGAAUUCCUGGUGUAGCGGUGAAAUGCGCAGAUAUCAGGAAGAACACCCGUGGCUAAGGCGGCUCUCUAGUACGUGACUGACGCUGAGACGCGAAAGCGUGGGGAGCGAACGGG
rnacentral:rRNA from 1 species